UUGUGGUUAAAAAGCUCGUAGUUGGAUCUCGGCGGACUGAGGGCGGUUUGCUUGCUAGUAUUACUGCCCUAUAGUCCGUAGUUUUGCCAGAGGUUUCGGGGUGCUCUUAAUCGAGUGUCCCGGGAUGCUGGCAGGUUUACUUUGAAAAAAUUAGAGUGCUCAAAGCAGGCUAUUACGCCUGAAUAUUCGUGCAUGGAAUAAUAGAAUAGGAAGUCGUUUCUAUUUUGUUGGUUUUCGGAAAUCGACUUAAUGAUUAAUAGGGACAGUCGGGGGCAUUUGUAUUCAAACGACAGAGGUGAAAUUCUUGGACCGUUUGAAGACAAACUACUGCGAAAGCAUUUGCCAAGGAUGUUUUCAUUAAUCAAGAACGAAAGUUAGGGGAUCGAAGGAUGAUUAGAUACCAUCCUAGUCUUAACCAUAAACUAUGCCGACUCG
rnacentral:rRNA from 1 species